UUCCGCUAGUCGCGACGUGGGGAAGGAAUUCCGCGGGCCACGAAGGACGGCGACGGCGACUGAACCCAAAGCCACUCCGCUCCCCUCCCCACCUCCGACGGCAGAGAGGCGACGCCUCCAACAACCUCAGGUUCUUCCUCCACCGGCGACCGGAGCGGGGCCUGCAUAGCGCAUCGCGUCCUCGUCCCUCUCCUCUCCCAGAUUUCCCCUCUCCGGCGACGGUUGUCGUCUUCCCAGGAUCUGCUCCGCCCAGAUCCAUGUCCCUCCGGCGACAAAGACGGUCGGCGAAGCACAGAGAAGGCCGGCGGCGAGUGAGGCGAGCGCCGCGAGCGUCUACCUAGGAGAGGCGCCUCCGCCUCUCUCCGUCUACCGGGAGCGGCGCUUCUGCCUCCCUCCGGCGACGACCAUGGUGGCUAAGCAUCCAAGAUUUCGCUCUUCCCUCCGACAACGGCGACUGCCCAGCAGUCGUUCUUCUCCUGCCCAAACUAUCCGCUCUGCUUAUCUAGUUCAUCAUGGCUUAUUCGUCCCCGAGCUGAUAAGUUGUAGCUCCAGAUCUUGCAGGCUGCCGAUUGGAGAUGUUUUCUCUCUCAAAUUCUGACCGCUUCUUGAAGCAAAGCAGAACAUAUCCCGCCAUCUUUCAGGGUCACCUGCUGCUUCUCCCCUGCCGAAGCAAUUUGUCCAUCUUUCGGCGGCGCUCCAUCAAGCAUGUGCGCGCCGGACAGCAACUGCCCCUACCUGACGUGGGAGCCAGCUCCGGUGAUUCUGCUCCAGCUAGCGGCAGGGGAGAUCGUGUGCGCUGGUUGCCUGAGCCGACGAGAGGGAGAUGAUGCGACGGAUGUGUGGUCUCCUUUGCCCGAUUCUGCUCCGGCGAGGCGGCUAGGGGAUGGUGCGCGUUGGGGGCAGAGCUGGUGGGUGGGAGAUGGUGCAGACCGCCGUGGAGGCCCACGAGGACGACCUCCACAGCCCCUACUGGGAAGGCGUGAGGGAGGCGGCGGCGGCGUGCAUAGACCUCGACUUGGGAGGUAAGAGGGCCUCCUUCGAGUCGCUCCACCGCCAGCCUCCGUCGGCGACCACCGCCGAACGAGAGGUGGCCGAUGCCAUGCUCUCUAAGGCAAUGGCGCAGCUCCGGGAGUCGCAGGAAGCCCUGCACGCCCUGGGGCCAGCCCCCAGGUGUCGUCUACCUCGCCAACAAUGACGCCACCGCUGACGAGCUUGUCGACCUUAAUAACGAGGAGGCUGAUCUAUUGAUCUACAUAAUUUUGUAACUAACACAUACUUCUCUUCUGCAGUACUAGCAUUUGAAUGUUGAGACUUCAUAGCGAAGGGCAUGAGAGUCAAAAAUCAUAAUGAAACUGUCCAGUUUUGGUUGAGAAUUGCUUGUUGAGAAUUGAAUUUUGCUGGAGAUGUAAAGAUUAUUAUGUUGUCGUGGUUGAAUAUGGUCCCUGUAAUUUCUGUACUAAUUUGUAUGCCUAAAUUUUAAUUUGUAUUGUGA